UACGAAGGGGGCUAGCGUUGCUCGGAAUCACUGGGCGGAAAGCGCACGUAGGCGGAUUGCUAAGUCAGGGGUGAAAUCCUGGAGCUCAACUCCAGAACUGCCUUUGAUACUGGCGAUCUUGAGUCCGGGAGAGGUGAGUGGAACUGCGAGUGUAGAGGUGAAAUUCGUAGAUAUUCGCAAGAACACCAGUGGCGAAGGCGGCUCACUGGCCCGGUACUGACGCUGAGGUGCGAAAGCGUGGGGAGCAAACAGG
rnacentral:rRNA from 1 species